CCAAGAGUUGCUUGACAAGGUGAGGCUGUUGGAAAAAAUGAAAUAUCCUAACUAACAAAGAAGAAUGAUCAGAGCACAUUAAAUUAACAGCACUUUUGCUUCCUUUUUCCUGGAGGACUGUAAAGGCACCUGGUUUUCAUGACUUCACUAGACAUAGGCUUUUGAACAUUGCUAAGUUAGGUGUAGAAUUGUUCAUUGAAUGUUCUCUAGCAUUGGGCUCUCGUCAACUACUCCCCCGUAAUUUUGUUUCAAGUAGAUGUGAAAAAUGAGAAGGUGCAGAGAUCUGAGCUGCUGGAUCAGAGUAUUGAACUGCAGAGUCCCUUACAAUUGCCAAAUUUUGGAUUAGAGUGGCGCUUCUGUGAUUUUUGUGGAACUUUAGCCGUUAGCAUGCUAGUGGGGAGUACCAUUGGUACUAACCGUCUAACCUGCCAGUUGUGUAUAUAAAUGCAAUCUUCGGGCAUAAUUAAUUCGGCCUCGGUUGGAGUUGGGCCUGUGAUUGGUCAACGGUUCAAGGGCCUCGGGAAUAGCAAGGGCUGGGUUCAGUUUUUCUCCUCCAAAAUCGUGAACCAGUGACCGCCCGAAUCGAAAUGAAACCAAUCAUAACUGCUAGGAAGUGGAUGGGGCUGAACUGCCCCGUGGCUUGGAUCAAGUUCAUAUCCUCCACAGAGCAGAAUUGGCCACACGCGGACCGGGUAUAAUUUUCCCUUAGUGGUCAUGCCGGAUUGCGUCUUGACUUUUUAGAAACUAGCG
rnacentral:misc_RNA from 1 species